rnacentral:rRNA from 1 species
UACGUAGGGUGCAAGCGUUAAUCGGAAUUACUGGGCGUAAAGUGUGCGCAGGCGGCCGCGCAAGUCGAGUGUGAAAGCCCCGGGCUUAACUUGGGAAUUGCGCUCGAAACUACGUGGCUAGAGUGUGGCAGAGGGAGGUGGAAUUCCACGUGUAGCGGUGAAAUGCGUAGAGAUGUGGAGGAACACCGAUGGCGAAGGCAGCCUCCUGGGCCAACACUGACGCUCAUGCACGAAAGCGUGGGGAGCAAACAGG